rnacentral:rRNA from 1 species
GUGGCUAGGGGUGAAAGGCCAAUCAAACUCGGAAAUAGCUGGUUCUCCGCGAAAUCUAUUUAGGUAGAGCGUCGACCGAAUACCCUCGGGGGUAGAGCACUGGAUGGGCUAUGGGGACUCACCGUCUUACUGAUCCUAACCAAACUCCGAAUACCGAGGAGUACUAGUCGGCAGACACACGGCGGGUGCUAACGUCCGUCGUGAAAAGGGCAACAACCCUGACCUCCAGCUAAGGUCCCCAAGUCAUGGCUAAGUGGGAAAGGAUGUGAGGAUCCCAAAACAACCAGGAUGUUGGCUUAGAAGCAGCCAUCAUUUAAAGAAAGCGUAACAGCUCACUGGUCUAAAUAAGGGUCUUUGCGCCGAAAAUGUAACGGGGCUAAAGCCAUGCACCGAAGCUGAGGAUUUGCGAGUAAUCGCAAGUGGUAGCGGAGCGUUCCGUAAGUCUGUGAAGGCGGACCCGUGAGGGCUGCUGGAGAUAUCGGAAGUGCGAAUGUUGACAUGAGUAACGAUAAAGGGAGUGAGAGACUCCCUCGCCGAAAGACCAAGGGUUCCUGCUUAAAGUUAAUCUGAGCAGGGUUAGCCGGCCCCUAAGACGAGGCGGACACGCGUAGUCGAUGGGAACCACGUUAAUAUUCGUGGGCCUGGUGGUAGUGACGGAUCUCGUGUGUUGUUCAACCUUACUGGAUUGGUUGGGCGGCGAAGAGGUUCCAGGAAAUAGCUCCACCGUAUAGACCGUACCCGAAACCGACACAGGUGGUCAGGUAGAGUAUACCAAGGCGCUUGAGAGAACUAUGUUGAAGGAACUCGGCAAAUUGCACGCGUAACUUCGGAAGAAGCGUGACCCUUUUGUACGCAAGUAUGAUGGGGUGGCACAGACCAGGGGGUAGCGACUGUUUAUCAAAAACACAGGGCUCUGCGAAGUAGCAAUACGACGUAUAGGGUCUGACGCCUGCCCGGUGCUGGAAGGUUAAAGGGAGGGGUGCAAGCUCUGAACUGAAGCCCCAGUAAACGGCGGCCGUAACUAUAACGGUCCUAAGGUAGCGAAAUUCCUUGUCGGGUAAGUUCCGACCUGCACGAAUGGCGUAACGACUUCCCCGCUGUCUCCAGCAUAGACUCAGUGAAAUUGAAUUCCCCGUGAAGAUGCGGGGUUCCUGCGGUCAGACGGAAAGACCCCGUGCACCUUUACUAUAGCUUUACACUGGCAUUCGCCAAGGCAUGUGUAGGAUAGGUGGUAGGCUUUGAAGCAGGGACGCCAGUUUCUGUGGAGCCAUCCUUGAAAUACCACCCUUAUCUUCGUGGAUGUCUAACCGCGGUCCGUUAUCCGGAUCCGGGACAGUGUAUGGUGGGUAGUUUGACUGGGGCGGUCGCCUCCGAAAGAGUAACGGAGGCGCGCGAUGGUGGGCUCAGACCGGUCGGAAAUCGGUCGUCGAGUGCAAUGGCAUAAGCCCGCCUGACUGCGAGACUGACAAGUCGAGCAGAGACGAAAGUCGGUCAUAGUGAUCCGGUGGUCCCGUGUGGAAGGGCCAUCGCUCAACGGAUAAAAGGUACGCCGGGGAUAACAGGCUGAUGACCCCCAAGAGUCCAUAUCGACGGGGUUGUUUGGCACCUCGAUGUCGACUCAUCGCAUCCUGGGGCUGGAGCAGGUCCCAAGGGUAUGGCUGUUCGCCAUUUAAAGCGGUACGUGAGUUGGGUUCAGAACGUCGUGAGACAGUUCGGUCCCUAUCUGCCGUGGGUGUAGGAAUAUUGACAGGAUCUGUCCCUAGUACGAGAGGACCGGGAUGGACGUAUCUCUGGUGGAUCUGUUGUCCUGCCAAGGGCAUAGCAGAGUAGCUAUAUACGGAAUGGAUAACCGCUGAAGGCAUCUAAGCGGGAAACCAACCUGAAAACGAGUGUUCCCUAUCAGAGCCGUGGAAGACGACCACGUUGAUAGGACGGGUGUGGAAGCACAGCAAUGUGUGAAGCUUACCGUUACUAAUAGCUCGAUCGACUUCUUC